rnacentral:rRNA from 1 species
ACGCACGCUGGCGGCGUGCUUAACACAUGCAAGUCGAACGGAAAGGCCCUGCUUUUGUGGGGUGCUCGAGUGGCGAACGGGUGAGUAACACGUGAGUAACCUGCCCUUGACUUUGGGAUAACUUCAGGAAACUGGGGCUAAUACCGGAUAGGAGCUCCUGCUGCAUGGUGGGGGUUGGAAAGUUUCGGCGGUUGGGGAUGGACUCGCGGCUUAUCAGCUUGUUGGUGGGGUAGUGGCUUACCAAGGCUUUGACGGGUAGCCGGCCUGAGAGGGUGACCGGCCACAUUGGGACUGAGAUACGGCCCAGACUCCUACGGGAGGCAGCAGUGGGGAAUAUUGCACAAUGGGCGGAAGCCUGAUGCAGCAACGCCGCGUGCGGGAUGACGGCCUUCGGGUUGUAAACCGCUUUCGCCUGUGACGAAGCGUGUGUGACGGUAAUGGGUAAAGAAGCACCGGCUAACUACGUG